rnacentral:lncRNA from 13 species
CAAAAGGAGGGAAGAAGGCAGAGGUGAGAAGGUACUGACCACCUACACUGUUCUAUACAAUGAUUUAGUUCCAGCUCUAUUUGUCACCAAAGACCAUGCUUUGGACUUCGAAAUGAGGAAUGACCAAGGAGAAGAGAUGGAUGAUGGAUGUUUAUGUUAGAGAAAAAGAGGUCAAGGAAGGUCAAUUCCAUCCACACUGCAGAUCCCACACUGAUCAUUGAUCUGAACAGGAAAAGCCAGAAGAAUUCACCCUGAUGUAAACAUGAAUAAAAAGGCAACUACCACAGUCUUUGGGAUUAGU